CAUUGGUAGACCUUUUCAGGAUGACUAAACUAAUCACAUGGGAUGAGGCACCAAUGGUAAAUCGUUACGCUGUGGAAAAUUUUAAAAGAUAUUAACUAAUGAGAUGUGCCAUUUGGGGGAAAAAUAAUUGUAUUAGGAGGAGAUUUUAGUCAAGUUUUACCGAUUGUUCAAAGAGGAAAAAAAGAAGAUAUAAUGAAGGCGAGUUUGGUUUUUUCAUAUUUGUGGCCUUCUUUUACCCAUUUACCAUUAGUUCAAAAUAUGAGAGCUCAAUUAGAUCCAUUAUUUUGUAAAUAUUUACUUAGUAUCGAAAAUGGUACGGAGAAAGAACACUCAUGUCGGAUGAUUAAACUUCCAUCCGAUAUAACCAUAUAGUUUGAGGACGAAUUUCAAUCUUUGAGACAUUUGAUUAACGUGGUUUUUCCAAAUAUAGAAAAUUUAGAUACUAUGAUUAAUAGAGUCAUUUUGACACCGAAAAAUGAAUAUGUCGAUCAAAUAAACAAUAUUUUACUAAAAGAAAUUCCUGGGAAGAUAUUUACAUAUUACAGCUUUGAUGAAACCAUUGACAAAUCCGAACAAAGUAUCCAAGAAGAUUUUCUAAAUACGCUAACUCCGAAUGGUAUUCCACCACAUGAACUUACAUUAAAACAAAACUAUCCCUUUAUGUUACUUCGAAAUAUUAAUCUAUCUGAAGGUUUAUGCAAUGGAACAAGACUUAUUUGUCGAAGAUUUGAAUGAAAUGUGAUUGAUGUAGAAAUUGCUAUUGGAGAAUACCGUGGAAAGCAAGUAUUUUUACCUAGAAUUCCUUUUGUACUGCUUGAAAGUGAUAAAACUUCAAUUCCUUUUAAAAGAACUCAAUUCCCAAUCCAUCCAUGUUUUGCAAUGACAAUAAACAAAUCCCAAGGUCAAACUUUAUAUUAUGUUGGGCUUUAUCUUCCAGAACCUGUAUUUUCUCACGGACAGUUAUACGUUGCUUUGUCAAGAGCCAAAACAAGUAAAGCUAUUAAAAUUUUGAUAAAGCCAUUAGACAAACCUACAAUACGUAAUACAUGCACAAAAAUGUCGUCUACCAAGAAAUUCUUGCUUUGAUAAGAUCUUCAUAGCCUUUUCUAAGAGCAUUUUCAAAAUACUAUGAAGUAUAUGUUUUAUAAAAAAUUGUUGGUUCUUGUCAAUUGUCCAAACUUUUAUAAUGUUUUGUUAACUUGAUUGUGUUGUGUUAGACUAUUGAUUUAGAGGAUUACUUUCUUACCAGAUAUAGCUUUUGUUGUAUAUAUAAAUACUAUUUUCUUAUAAACAUUUAAUAACUGUUCUAGAAUAUAUUGAACUAAGUGUACAUAUUAAUUUCUUUGUUUUGGCCAACUAUAUCUUAGACCACAAUUUUACCUGCCAACUUUUCAGUCAAGUUUGUUUUAUUGUUGAUUGUAUUUUAUCCAACAUCAAAAGUGAUCCCUUUACAUUGUUUUUUGCAUAUUUUCCUACUACUUAAACUUCAUAUGGUAAAUUAUUAGCCUUCAUAUCUUUUGUUUUAGAAACAGCCUAUAGAUUAUAAAUCAUUAUCUUUUAAUUUUUGUAGUCAUAUAGUGCUCUCUGUGUAUUAAUGCAGUGAGAUAUUUAAGUUUUGAGAUUCAAGAUUGGUGACUAAUGAAAUAAAGAAUGGAUCAGUACAACAUUCUGGAGAAAAUUGCUCGAGAGGCUUUUGGGGCAGCCAUUUUGAUCAAUUGCAAGCCAGAAAGAAAAAUUUAUGUCAUUUGAAAUUAUAUUAGUUUUAUUCAUUUUCGUAUUAUUUUGCAAAAAUUGUAUUUGAAGUACGCAAAAAUCUAACAAUUUUCCCCCUUACUCUUUGAAAUGAAAAAAUUAGGUAUGUGCUCAUCUAGAGGUAUACUGAUGUAUAUUACUUUCGAUAAUUAUUUAAAUUUUAUUUUUGUUUUAUUUUAUAAACUUCAUGAUUAAGGAAUUUUUUGGUGUACUAAUUUCUGUUAGAUAAUAUUGGAUAUCUUCAUUUUUUUUUGAGUAAUUUGCUUUAGUAACCUCAGUAUUGGUGAACGAACUUGUAAAAAUUUAUUGUCGUUAAGUUAAUAGAAUUAUUUUAUUUCCAUUAACUGAUCACAAAUGAUAAUAGGAAAAUCAAUAUGUUAACUCAAUGUUAAAGUUCUUCAGCUGGAUAUAUGAACUGAGGAUGCAUAUUUAAGUCCACAUAAUGUCUUGUGCAUCAAGUUGGAUCAAUACUCCAAUUGUCUUCAUCUAUUUCUCUAUACCUUAUUUAUUUGUUAGAGAUUAAUUUGAGAUCAAAAUGAAGUGGUCUAUCUUCCAAUUUUACUUCCAAUGAUCGUUCUUGUUUGAAGAUUUAGCUUUUCUUUUAGAUAUUGUUUUGAUUGGUUCAUGGGCAAAACAACCAAUGCGAUGGGCAAUAAGGUUGAGGGUGGCUUUAUAUAUAGCACAAGCAUUGGACUGUUGCAAUAGUAAAGGCUGAGCACUAUAUCACGAUCUGAAUAGUACAAAAGUCAAAUAAAUUCCAACAUUUUUGUAAUUGUGGUCCCAUUGACUUUCUCUCUCUUCAUUCACAUUCACUCUUUCUCAUUUAUGUUGCUUUUUUCGAAAUUUCUUUACGGAGAAACCAAAAGAAAUCGAGCCGCAAGAAGGAGAAGGAAGGUAAAAUUCAAACAAGUUACUGAAAUUGGUAUGUUGUUAUGGUUGGUGUAAUUAGGUGUAUUGAGAUUUUAAGGGUUAAUUAUUGCGAUUGAUUUGUUUCGAUGCAAUCGACAAAUUUGGUUGAAAGUGAUGAAUUAUUAUUCACGGUUGAACUGUUUUAUCUUUAAGUAUGAUAUUUAUUUUUUUCUUUUUUAGAUUUUGUUCAAUUUUGUUUUAGUUUAUUGUUUGUUUUGUAUUUUUUUCCUAGAGUUUUUAUUAUAGUAUUUAUCAUUGAACUAUUCUUAGGAAAUUGCAAAUUGCAAAUUGUAUUUAUUGUUUUUACGUGUAUAGUGUUUGAUUGUAUUUUUUUGACUGCAAUUGUGUUCUUUUCUUAGGUAAAUUCUUCCGAUUAAGUUGUUUAGGUAUUUGUUCAUAUGUUUAGGUAGUAUGUAUAUUUUCAACUUUUCCUUAUUUAUUUAUAGUAAUUUGUUAAAUUUGUAAUAGUUGUCGGUUUUUGAGCUUUCUUGCCUUUAUCUCAUCACUAUCAGGAAUUUUUCUUUUUCGAUCGAUUGUGAAUGGAAAUUCUAAAGAGUCUAAGGCAAUUGAGAUGUAUACCUGCGAACGAGGAUUUUGGGAAGAAGGGAGUUUGGUGGCUGUUUGCAAAAGUUCUUCAGUCGGCUUCGCUGUUGCAUAAAUAUAUUUUUUUUUAGGUAUUUAGCUAAGUAUUUGUUCAUUUUUGUGUGAGUUUGUGAUGAUUUGUAAAAAUUUAAGGUUUUAGCUUUCAUGAUGUUUGUUCUUGGACAAAUUUUGUAUAUAUAUUUUUUUUGGGGGGCUAAUUUUAGUUUCUCUUUGGAAGAAAUAGAAACAAACAAUUUAUUUUUUUC